rnacentral:rRNA from 1 species
UUAUAAGAGACAGCAGUAGCCGCGGGAAAACGGAGGAUCCGAGCGUUAUCCGGAAUUAUUGGGUUUAAAGGGUGCGUAGGCGGAUAGAUAAGUCAGUGGUGAAAGACGGUGGCUCAACCAUCGCAGUGCCGUUGAUACUGUUUAUCUUGAAUAUGGAUGAGGUAGGCGGAAUGUGGCAAGUAGCGGUGAAAUGCAUAGAUAUGCCACAGAACACCGAUUGCGAAGGCAGCUUACCAAGGCAAAAUUGACGCUGAGGCACGAAAGCGUGGGGAGCAAACAGGAUUAGAUACCCCAGUAGUCCCUGUCUCUUAUAC